rnacentral:rRNA from 1 species
GACAGAGGAUGCAAGCGUUAUCCGGAAUGAUUGGGCGUAAAGCGUCUGUAGGUGGCUUUUUAAGUUCGCCGUCAAAUCCCAGGGCUCAACCCUGGACAGGUGGUGGAAACUACCAAGCUAGAGUACGGUAGGGGCAGAGGGAAUUUCCGGUGGAGCGAUGAAAUGCGUAGAGAUCGGAAGGAACACCAAAGGCGAAAGCACUCUGCUGGGCCGACACUGACACUGAGAGACGAAAGCUAGGGGAGCAAAUGGG